UAAUUGUUGACUGGAGGAACUAAUUACCCUGAGAUGGGGAUUUGGAGUGCUGUGGGUGGCUUUCCACUGCCUUGAACGAGAGCAGGAUUGAACACUUUGCAACAGAUUAAAAAGGCUAUGUACUCAUUUGAACUAAAAUUACCCGGCUGCCAGCCUGCUUGAUAGCAAUUACAUCUAAAGAGAGAAAACCACUGAACUUCAUGUAUUGGUGUCAGAGCAGGCUGAGGGAGGCAACAUGGGGCAUGGCUGCAACUGGGCUGUGAUAUCCCACUGCAGGGCAGGGAUCCUCUACCAGCAGGGGGCUGCAGAGCCAAAAAGCCUCAAAUCCACCUCUCUACCCCUCUGAGCACCCUGCAAUACAUGCAGUUUCUGUCAUUCCUGGCACUCAGCUCUUUUGUAGUUCAUUCUGCAAUUUUGAACUACAUUAAAAAAAGAGAUGCCUUCAAUUUGGUUCAGAUACAUAAUUCAUGCUGUGACCAUAGAUUUGUUUCUCUUACAGUGUGCCAUCACAUAACUAUCCCCAGAAAUAUUUGUUUUUUUAAUGCCAUUAGCAGAUUAGGGGUAUGUGUAGCUGUAUACAAACACAGAUAAUACAAAAGACAGAUCUAUGAUUGCACUGGAUGUUCACACAUCUCAUGGUUACUGGUGCUUUAAAAAAGCCAGUACAAAGCUUUCUGUAACUAUGGCUUGUUUUAAAAAAAAGAAAUAACCAUUUACUGAUAAAAUAAUAAAUAAUGCAUCUAAAUAAAUAAAAAGCAAAGUACUUUUAUUAGGUCGUUGAUAAUGUCAAUCUGAUGAAAGAAUCUGGAGUCAGGUGCCGAUGAAACAGUGUUUUUGAGUUCUCCUUUACCAGCGUGGCAUUUCAAAAUGCCCAGUGUCAAGCCUGGA